rnacentral:rRNA from 1 species
CAAUGCCAGGUGUGUGAGAGGAUGAUCAGCCACAUUGGGACUGAGACACGGCCCAAACUCCUACGGGAGGCAGCAGUGGGGACUAUUGGACAAUGGGGGCAACCCUGAUCCAGCAAUGCCAUGUGUGUGAAGAAGGCCCUAGGGUUGUAAAGCACUUUAGUUGGGGAGGAAAGCCUCAAGGUUAAUAGCCUUGGUGGAGGACGUUACCCAAAGAAUAAGCACCGGCUAACUCCGUGCCAGCAGCCGCGGUCAUACGGGGGGUGCAAGAGAUAAUCGGAUUUACUGGGCGUAAAGGACCUGUAGGUGGUUUGUUAAGUCAGAUGUGCAAGCACAGGGCUCAAACUUGGAACUGCAUUUGAUCAUGGAACACUAGAGAACGGUAGCUG